rnacentral:rRNA from 1 species
CCUACGGGCGGCAGCAGUGAGGAAUAUUGGUCAAUGGCCGGAAGGCUGAACCAGCCAUGCCGCGUGAAGGUCAGUGCCCUAUGGGCGUUAAACUUCUUUUGUGCGGGAGCAAUAAUGGUCACGUGUGGCCAGACGAGAGUGCCGUACGAAUAAGCAUCGGCUAACUCCGUGCCAGCAGCCGCGGUAAUACGGGGGGUGCAAGCGUUAUCCGGAUUUAGUGGGUUUAAAGGGUGCGUAGGCUGUGAGGUAAGUCAGCGGUGAAAUGCCCCCGCUCAACGGGGUGAAGUGCCAUUGAUACUGCCUUGCUGGAAUGCGGAUGACGUGGGAGGAAUGUGUGGUGUAGCGGUGAAAUGCAUAGAUAUCACACAGAACACCGAUUGCGAAGGCAGCUCACGGAUCCGCGAUUGACGCUGAGGCACGAAAGCGUGGGUAUCAAACAGGAUUAGAUACCCCUGUAGUC